rnacentral:misc_RNA from 1 species
GAUGAAGAACGUAGCGAAAUGCGAUACGUAAUGUGAAUUGCAGAUUUCAGUGAAUCAUCGAAUCUUUGAACGCACAUUGCGCCCGCUAGUAUUCUGGCGGGCAUGCCUGUUCGAGCGUCAUUUCAACCAUCAAGCCCUAGGCUUGCGUUGGAGCCCUGCGGCUGCUGCAGGCUCCCAAAUCCAGUGGCGGGCUCGUCGUCGUACCGAGUGCAGUAAACAUCCUCGCUCAGGGAACGUGACGGGUUCUUGCCGUGAAACCCCCCACAUAUCAAGGUUGACCUCGGAUCAGGUAGGAAUACCCGCUGAACUUAAGCAUAUCAAUAAGCGGAGGA